UAAAAUAAAAACUAAUGAAAUUUGAAUUUUUAAGUAUUUAUACAAGAUAAUUAAGAAUAAAUUAUUUUUUACAAAAUCUGUUAAAAUUUGAUUGCUGUAAUUGCUGUCAAACCUUUUCUAAAAAAAUUAUCUUGUGGAAAGUUAUUGUUGAAAAAAAUGGCAGUUAGGUUGCAUGGUCCUACCUUGGAACCUAAUAAGGUUGUAUUAUUAGAAGUAAAUGUGUUAUAAACUGACUAAAUGUGAACUUUAAAGACACUAAAAGGAAACAAUUAAGAUGUUUCAUAAAAAUUAAUAUUGAAAGGGGUUUUGCUUUGAAAUAAAAUAUUUGGCAUAUGUAUUUUAAACCUUUAAAGAAUUUAAAGAUCUGAAUUAAAAUCCAGGAAUAGAAAAAAAAUGAAUAGGAAAAAAGUAAUUCGAUUAAGAAAUUUGGAAAUAUACAAACAUUUUUAAUGAUCAGUUUAUAACAUAUUUUCUUGGUGUUGAUUUAAAAAAUGGCACAGAAAGAUUAAAUUGUUUGAAUACUUAUAAAAUACAGGUAUAGGGGUUCACCCCUUCAGUUUUGUCCUAUACCUCUCAUCAUUUUACACAAAUGAAAUGACCUAGUUAUUGAACUUGUUUGGAUAAUGGUAGUUCAAUCAGCCUAUAUGCAUUAAAUUUACCAAUCAAUCAAAGAUGCCAAAAGUUGCUCCAUUUAAAACACAAGGGAAGGUUAAACAGAAUACCCUUUAAAAAAAGUGGUAAUUUGGGGUUUUCUACAUCUGAACCUAGUCGUUAUAAAAUGUUAAGAAUGUUUUUUGUAGUGUUUCAUCUCUCCUUGUUUCCUUGGUUACUCAAUAGUUAGAUAUAUAUUACAUAUAUAGAUAUAACAUGUAGAUUUAUUAUAAUAAUUUUUAUCAACAUAAUCAUUUGUUGAGAAAAUACUCAAUUUGUUGAACCAUUUAAACUAUUGGUUGUAAUCUUGUUGUUGCUUUUUACUGUAAAUCAAAACUUUAAUAUUAUUUCAAAACUUUGAACGUUUUGUAACUUAAAUGGAAGAAAGUAUGAAUUAAAGCUUUUACAGGAGAAGAAUUUUGAAUUCAAGAGUAAUUUGCUUAAAUUUUAAAUUACAGAUUUUGUGUCGGUGAAAGGCAACAAUAACAUCUAUUUUUCAUCAUAUAUAACAUUUAUAUCAUAGCUUCAUCUAAUCAUCGUUGUUUAAUGCAAUGUUAAGUUUGGUAUCCAGGUUUUUUGAUUAUUUUUUUGUUAAGUAGCAUUUAGAUUUUUGGUGUGUGUUAUGUUGUGUUAUGAGUAUAAAUUAUAUACUGAAGGCUUUAUUGAAUGAUUGUAUAAAAAACAUCCCACCAUUCUGUCCAUCAAAACACUCUUGUAUUAAAAAAUCGUCAAUUCAUUCAUUAUGUUUGUGAUAUGAUUGUGUCUUCUCUCCUCUGUCUAAACCUAUAAUACAAUAUUUUCUCACAUUAUUUAGCAGACACAAGGUCAAAAGGUCAGAGCCUUAAAUGAAUGAUACUUUAACAUCACUGAAAAUCUGUGCAUCAAUUUUGUUGUUAAGGAUUUAGCCUGGUUACCAUGGUAAUUUAUUUAUCACCUACAGAGAAUUAGAUUUGUUUGAACAUGCAUUGUAAAAUAAAAAAAAAUUGUAAUGUGAAAAAAGAUAUAGUUUAAAAUAAACUAAUAACAAUUGAAAUGUGAAUAUAGAGUAAAAAAAUGUGAACAUUUUGAAGUUUAGAAUUAGGAAAUGAUUAAAGCAAGUUCAGACAAGUCUCUCUGUAUUUUAACUGGUCACAUGAUUUUAGUCCUAUAUUUGGAUCAAGACCCAUAACUCAGGAGCUUAGCUAAUGGAUCUAAUUGAUCAGCUCAAACGAGUAUAUAGACCCUUUAUAGUGAUGCACACUUCACCUUGUUAAGUUUUAUUUAAAUUAUUAUUUACAUGUUAUUUAAUUUAUUUAUUUAUUUAGUUUUAUAUAAACCUUGCCUAAUGCGAAGCAGGUUUACAUGGUGUAAUCUUUUCCUAGUUUGAUUUUAUUCCUUAACAAUGAAAUUUUUGGUAUUAAAUAGUUUUUUUGGUCUUAAUAAGAUUUAAGAUUUUAUUCAUGCUGUAACGUGUGUUUUGGUAAAUAGCAACAAUGAUUUUGUUCUUUAUGUUUGGCAAAAUGCCAGAAGAAAUAUUGUGUAAUUACACAUAUGUUGCCUAGCAACACAGAUCAAUGCAUUAUCCAAGCCUAAAUGCAUGUGGACCUUAAAUGGAAUUUGAAUGCUGUUCACCAGAUUUUCAGCUUGUUAUCUUUGACUUGUACAUAAUAAAUUCUUUUGGUCAAUUCUGCCAAUUCAAUUCAAUAUAUGAACAAAUUGAACUCAAAUUUAAUUUGUUGACAAACUAGUAUAUUCAUAAGUGUCAUAUGAAAGCAAAAGUCAUUUUCAAGUUAUUAAAUGUCAUAAUUUGUAAUGCAAAGUAAAAGUCUUGUAGACAUGUUUACUUUUUGCAAUUUGUUUUAUCUGGAUAAAUGUUAACCCUUAUAAAAAUAUUGACAUUAUAAUAGAAAUGAGACCAAACAGUAUAGAGGCUUCAAUGAUUGGCCAGUAUUUCAACCACAGUAAAGGCAAUCAUGUUUUAUUUUGUCUUUAAACCUUUGUUUAGCCGUCCAUUAUAUAGUUUUUGUAUGCCCCCUUUUUUGAUGCAAGAGUAAAGUUGUGAAAUUUUUUUCAAACUAUGCAACAGUUGUUUUCAGUUACCAUAGGAACAGUUGUUGAUAUCAUUACCAUAGCAACAGUUGUUAUUGUUAAUUUUUAUCGUCAAAUUAUCGAACCAAAGUCAUUAUUUCAUUACCUGCUUAUCAUAAUUCUAUCAAAAUAAAAUGAAGUAACCUAGAAAGUAACUAUAAAAUAAACAGGACAUUGUAACAAAGGUCCUUUUAAUGUUUACUGGACCAUCCAUGGGUGAAAGAUUAAAAGAUAAUCUGACAGUUUUUCUAAUUUUGGUCAUAUGCAAUUGUUAACAAACUUUUAAAAUGAGUACAUUACUUUCUUAUUCUAUAAAAGUUCUUUCACCCAUGAGAGUAGUUUUCUUUAUCAAAUAAUAACAUAGGCAUUCUUUUCUCUUCUGAAAAUGUAUUUUAAAAGUUUUUUCUUGGGUUAUUAUGUUGCAUUUCAGAACACAUUCCAGUUCACAUCAUAUAAAUUAAAACGGUGCUCUCAUCAGAUUGUUGUAGGGGUUUGUUGUUAGAACAAGAUGUUUGUGUUCACCAUCUCUUGUUAAUCCUUGUUCAAACAUCAUUCUCAUUUCUGUUAUGAAUCAAACGGUAGACAAUAGAAAUAAGUAUUAAAAAAUUAAAACAUAUUUCAUCUAAAUAGGGAACUGUUUAUCUAAUUACAAAGAGUUGUCUCCCCUCAAAAAGCCACUUUGUCAGUAAGUGGAGCAUUCCUUGUAGUUGGAAGAACAAACCCUCAUGUUAUUGCAAUAGUAGCCUUGAAUCUUAAUAUUAAAGUUUUUGUAUGAUUUCAUUUCUUAAUACUGAAUUUUUGUAAUGAAAGACGUAAGUUCUAGGUUUAAAUUAAAGGGAAAAACCAGCUGGAAUUUCAUCCAAUAAGGUCCCAAUUAUGCAUUUUGUGCAGCCCUGUAAUUUACCCAGGAUGCAAUAGCUUUGUGUAUUGUUGAAGAUUGAUCUCUUUUUAUAUUACUUUGAUGUAACAGAAUGUACAAUUUUUAAUCACAAGUUUUGUUAUGAGUGUAAAACUGAAUGGUAUUCAAUAAAGUAUUUUGUUUGCUUCA
rnacentral:lncRNA from 1 species